ensembl:misc_RNA 7SK 7SK RNA
GGAUGUGAGGGUGAUCUGGCUGCGACACCCGUCACCCCAUUGAUCACCAGUGUUGAUUCGGCUGAUCUGGCUGGCUAGGCGGGUGUCCCCUUCCUCCCUCACCGCUCCGUGUGCGUCCCUCCUGAAACUGCAUGCUCAGUCGAAGAGGACGGCCUUCCCUGAAUAGAGACAGACCCGUCGAGGGUAUAUGAGUAGCUGCGCUCCCCUGCUAGAACCUCCAAACAAGCUUUCAACACUGAAGUCUGACUCUGCCAGAGGUCAGCAGUGGUACACAUUUCACAAAUCAAACUAGCUGAUUAAUU